GACGAACGCUGGCGGCGUGCUUAACACAUGCAAGUCGAACGGUCCUGUUUUUGAAGCGCUUCGGCGUGGAGGGGACGGGGCAGUGGCGCACGGGUGAGUAAUGCGCGAGGACCUGCCCGCAGGAGGGGGACAGCAGUUGGAAACGGCUGGUGAUACCCCGUAGGCCGGGAGGUGAAAGGGCGGAGACGCCCGCCUGCGGAUGGACUCGCGUCCUAUCAGCUAGUUGGUGAGGCAACGGCUCACCAAGGCGACGACGGGUAGCCGGCCUGAGAGGGUGUCCGGCCACACUGGAACUGAGACACGGUCCAGACUCCUACGGGAGGCAGCAGUGGGGAAUAUUGGACAAUGGGCGCAAGCCUGAUCCAGCCAUGCCGCGUGAGUGAUGAGGGCCUUAGGGUUGUAAAGCUCUUUCAGUGGGGACGAUAAUGACGGUACCCACAGAAGAAGCCCCGGCUAACUUCGUG
rnacentral:rRNA from 1 species